rnacentral:rRNA from 1 species
GACAGAGGGGGCGAGCGUUGUCCGGAGUCACUGGGCGUAAAGCGCGCGCAGGCGGCAACCUAAGUGUCGUGUGAAAGCCCCCGGCUCAACCGGGGGAGGCCAUGGCAAACUGGGUCGCUCGAGCUGCGGAGAGGCCCCUCGAAUUGCCGGUGUAGCGGUGAAAUGCGUAGAGAUCGGCAGGAAGACCAAGGGGGAAGCCAGGGGGCGGGCCGCAGGUUGACUGUGAGGCGCGACAGCGUGGGGAGCAAACCGG